GGCUGCAAUCGUCUUGUUGUUAACUCUAACAAUAUGGUGGUGGUUGAAAUAAUGAAGAAUGGAGGACAUUCGGUAAGAGCUGCAGCAGCAGUGUUCGACGACUGCUACUUCAUAGCUUGUGAUUUCCCUCUUAUUAGGUUUCAUUGUAAUAGGGACACAAAUAAUGUGGCUCAUGAAAUUACUAGGCUAACGAAAUUCUCGGUCACUAAGGACUGGUUUGAGGAUCCUGUGAGAUACAUUGAUUUACUUAUUGUCAUGUAA
rnacentral:rRNA from 1 species